rnacentral:rRNA from 1 species
GAUGAACGCUGGCGGCGUGCCUAAUACAUGCAAGUCGAGCGAACGGACGAGAAGCUUGCUUCUCUGAUGUUAGCGGCGGACGGGUGAGUAACACGUGGAUAACCUACCUAUAAGACUGGGAUAACUUCGGGAAACCGGAGCUAAUACCGGAUAAUAUUUUGAACCGCAUGGUUCAAAAGUGAAAGACGGUCUUGCUGUCACUUAUAGAUGGAUCCGCGCUGCAUUAGCUAGUUGGUAAGGUAACGGCUUACCAAGGCAACGAUGCAUAGCCGACCUGAGAGGGUGAUCGGCCACACUGGAACUGAGACACGGUCCAGACUCCUACGGGAGGCAGCAGUAGGGAAUCUUCCGCAAUGGGCGAAAGCCUGACGGAGCAACGCCGCGUGAGUGAUGAAGGUCUUCGGAUCGUAAAACUCUGUUAUUAGGGAAGAACAUAUGUGUAAGUAACUGUGCACAUCUUGACGGUACCUAAUCAGAAAGCCACGGCUAACUACGUGCCAGCAGCCGCGGUAAUACGUAGGUGGCAAGCGUUAUCCGGAAUUAUUGGGCGUAAAGCGCGCGUAGGCGGUUUUUUAAGUCUGAUGUGAAAGCCCACGGCUCACCCGUGGAGGGUCAUUGGAAACUGGAAAACUUGAGUGCAGAAGAGGAAAGUGGAAUUCCAUGUGUAGCGGUGAAAUGCGCAGAGAUAUGGAGGAACACCAGUGGCGAAGGCGACUUUCUGGUCUGUAACUGACGCUGAUGUGCGAAAGCGUGGGGAUCAAACAGGAUUGGAUACCCUGGUAGUCCACGCCGUAAACGAUGAGUGCUAAGUGUUAGGGGGUUUCCGCCCCUUAGUGCUGCAGCUAACGCAUUAAGCACUCCGCCUGGGGAGUACGACCGCAAGGUUGAAACUCAAAGGAAUUGACGGGGACCCGCACAAGCGGUGGAGCAUGUGGUUUAAUUCGAAGCAACGCGAAGAACCUUACCAAAUCUUGACAUCCUUUGACAACUCUAGAGAUAGAGCCUUCCCCUUCGGGGGACAAAGUGACAGGUGGUGCAUGGUUGUCGUCAGCUCGUGUCGUGAGAUGUUGGGUUAAGUCCCGCAACGAGCGCAACCCUUAAGCUUAGUUGCCAUCAUUAAGUUGGGCACUCUAAGUUGACGGCCGGUGACAAACCGGAGGAAGGUGGGGAUGACGUCAAAUCAUCAUGCCCGUUAUGAUUUGGGCUACACACGUGCUACAAUGGACAAUACAAAGGGCAGCGAAACCGCGAGGUCAAGCAAAUCCCAUAAAGUUGUUCUCAGUUCGGAUUGUAGUCUGCAACUCGACUACAUGAAGCUGGAAUCGCUAGUAAUCGUAGAUCAGCAUGCUACGGUGAAUACGUUCCCGGGUCU